GAUGAACGCUGGCGGCGUGCCUAAUACAUGCAAGUCGAGCGAACGGACGCGACGCUUGCUUGUUUGACGUUAGCCGCGGACGGGUGAGUAACACGUGGAUCAUCUACCUAUCAGACUGGGAUAACUUCGGGGCACCGGAGCUAAUACCGGAUAAUAUUUUGAACCGCAUGGUUCAAUAGUGAAAGACGGUCUUGCUGUCACUAAUAGAUGCAUCUGCGCUGCAUUAGCUAGUUGGUAAGGUAACGGCUUACCAAGGCAACGAUGCGUAGCCGACCUGAGAGGGUGAUCGGCCACACUGGAGCUGAGACACGGUCCAGACUCCUACGGUAGGCAGCAGUAGGGAAUCUUCCGCAAUGGGCGGAAGCCUUACGGAGCAACGCCGCGUGAGUGAUGAAGGUCUUCGGAUCGUAAAACUCUGUUAUUAGGGAAGAACAGAUGUGUAAGUAACUGUGCACAUCGUGACGGUACCUAAUCAGAAAGCCACGGCUAACUACGUG
rnacentral:rRNA from 1 species